rnacentral:rRNA from 1 species
GAUGAACGCUGACAGAAUGCUUAACACAUGCAAGUCUACUUGAACUUCGGGUUGGUUGGCGGACGGGUGAUUAACGCGUAAGGAACUUUCCUCACAGUUAGGGCCAACUUUUGGAAACGAAUGCUAAUACCUGAUAUUAUGUUAUUCGGGCUUCCAUGGUUUAUGAAAGCGUUAUGUGCUGUGAGAGAGUUUUGCGUCCCAUUAUCUAUUUGGAGAGGUAACGGCUCACCAAGGCUAUGGUGGGUGGCCGGCCUGGGAGCGUGAACAGCCACAAGGGGGCUAAGACAGGGCCCUGACUGCAACGGGAGGCAGCAGUGGGGAAUAUUGGAGAAUGGACCAGAAGUAGGAACCAGCAAUUCUGUGUGCAAAAAGACGUUUUUCGGGAUGGAAAGUGCUUUCAGUUGGCAAGAAACAAAUGACGGUACCAAAAGAAGAAGUGCCGGCUAAAUUCGGGC